GACGAACGCUGGCGGCGUGCUUAACACAUGCAAGUCGAACGGAAAGGCCCUGCUUGCAGGGUGCUCGAGUGGCGAACGGGUGAGUAACACGUGGGUGAUCUGCCCCUUACUUUGGGAUAAGCCUGGGAAACUGGGUCUAAUACUGGAUAGGACCAUGCUGUAGGUGGUGUGGUGGAAAGAUUAGUUUCGGUAAGGGAUGAGCUCGCGGCCUAUCAGCUUGUUGGUGGGGUAAUGGCCUACCAAGGCGUCGACGGGUAGCCGGCCUGAGAGGGUGGACGGCCACAUUGGGACUGAGAUACGGCCCAGACUCCUACGGGAGGCAGCAGUGGGGAAUAUUGCACAAUGGGCGCAAGCCUGAUGCAGCGACGCCGCGUGGGGGAUGACGGCCUUCGGGUUGUAAACUCCUUUCAGCCAUGACGAAGCCCUUGUGGUGACGGUAGUGGUAGAAGAAGCGCCGGCUAACUACGUG
rnacentral:rRNA from 1 species